rnacentral:lncRNA from 1 species
GUGACGUGACGUGAGCCUUCUUUCCAACUGGCCAGGCCUCCUAACGCAUUCCCCUGACACUCCUCUCCUAAGCAUGUUUGUCUGCUGGUUUCUGAGAGCAAAAGUCCCUUUUAAAAAAAUUUCUGAAGCUGACUUGAAGCAGGAAGAAUGUCUUCUGAUUUGGCCAAAAAUAUGCUCAAGAACGGUACAGCGCUGCACCUUUUUACAGGUAGUAGAGUCGGUUUUUCAAAUCAUUUGAUUGAGUUGUAUCUUUUUUAUUCUGUAUUUACUCCUCUGUUUGAAAGCCUGAGGCAACAGAACAAAGGAUAAUGCUUCCUACCUCAUUUAGGGGUAGAAAUUAAACUAUCAGAAAUGCUCUGAGAUGGGGCUGCCCUUUUAGGAACUGGGCUGCAUUAUUUCCUUCCUUCCAGGAAGAACCCUGGAAAAAUAUUGUGUCCCGUUUGGUUUUGGCAAACUCACUAGACUGAGGCUGUGCGAUGAAGGGAAACAAGCCUCUUAGUUGAAAUGUAGUUGUUUAUAUCCAUUUUCUCAGGAGGUGAGUAAGACAUCUUUUCUCAUGGGGGCUACAACUGCCAACCUUUCUUAAAAAGGCUUUCAUUUUUGCAAAAGCAUUAUUGUUCUAGAUAUACAUCCUGUGUCUCUUCCAUUUUUAUCUUUUCUGUUGGCUCCAGUUUAGUGUCAAAAAAGAUUAGAAAGGAUUGUGUGUAUGGGUUCGCACAGUUUUUUAAGUAAACUUCUUUGAUCCUUAGAGAAAUAUAACACUUAGUAAAUACACUUUUUUUUCAUAUACUGUUAAUAGCUUUUGUUUGCCUUCUCUUUCUCUGCCUCUGGCCCACUUUUGUUCUCAUUUGUCCUAGAGUUGACAGAUAAAGAGGGAAUGGGGUCUUCCAGCAGCAGUCCUUUGAGAUGGAGGUGUACUCAGUGAGUCCUCACCCAAAAAGGAUCAUAAACUUACUGGGUUAACUCAACCUAAUUAUCCCUAAGCUGCUUUGGGUUGUGUGUUUUCUCAUGUCUUGUUUUGUUUUAGCUGCACCAUAUGUGAUUCCUUGUGCCAUUUUCUUUUGUCUAUUAUUUUUCUUGAUGACCCUGAGCUAUGG